CCUACGGGGGGCUGCAGUGGGGAAUAUUGCACAAUGGGCGCAAGCCUGAUGCAGCCAUGCCGCGUGUGUGAAGAAGGCCUUCGGGUUGUAAAGCACUUUCAGCGGGGAGGAAGGCGUUAAGGUUAAUAACCUUGGCGAUUGACGUUACCCGCAGAAGAAGCACCGGCUAACUCCGUGCCAGCAGCCGCGGUAAUACGGAGGGUGCAAGCGUUAAUCGGAAUUACUGGGCGUAAAGCGCACGCAGGCGGUCUGUCAAGUCGGAUGUGAAAUCCCCGGGCUCAACCUGGGAACUGCAUUCGAAACUGGCAGGCUAGAGGCUUGUAGAGGGGGGUAGAAUUCCAGGUGUAGCGGUGAAAUGCGUAGAGAUCUGGAGGAAUACCGGUGGCGAAGGCGGCCCCCUGGACAAAGACUGACGCUCAGGUGCGAAAGCGUGGGGAGCAAACAGGAUUAGAUACCCGUGUAGUC
rnacentral:rRNA from 1 species